ACUGACGUCUUGUUCACCUUACCACACUGAUCUGACUGAUGCUACUUUUAUAAAGAUUCGUCUGUCUGUCAGGUGAUUUACAGGGCAGCAUGUGGAGAAGCUGGUUUUGAGUUGUAAAGUUUUGGUAAAUUUGGAGAGAAUUGAUAAGAUUGGCCUGUUGUUUAUAUAUGUUGGUUUUAUUAUCUAAUAAUAAAUCAUAGAAAGGUCCUUUUCUGUGGUCAAAAAUUUGGCAUAUUUGCUUGGCUUUUGUGAAGAAGAAGCAGAUAAAAAGGAAGAGUGGGCGAUCACAUUUGGCCAAACAGUCAGGAGUUAUUAAAAUACGAUCUUAUACAUUUCUAAGACAAAUGAUAACUUUCAUGAAUUGUAUAUUUCAGUUUACUUGAGUAGAUGUAAGUGAUGGACAGCACCACUGGACCAAAGAGCUCUUUUGCUUAGGGAGACACUAAUGCAGAAAUGAUUAUAUGUUCAGCACUUUAAAAGUUGACAGCAAGUAUUUCCUGCCUUAAGCCAGUUCUUCAGUCUUAGUGUUUAUGGUUGAUCUGUUGUUUCAUGUCACUCUGGUGAGGGCUGUAACUCAGUGGUGGGUAAGGGUAACCCAUGGCACAUGUUCACAGCCUGGCCCAGGCCUUUGUUCCUGAGCUCAGUUGCCAUAAAAUAAUCUGUGAAGUUUGUCGGUCUUCUAGAAUCGCUAGUAUAAGCAUCUGUUCACUGAUAUUGUUGUUGAUGUUGGCUUUGUACUAUGUGGCAAGUCAUGUAGUUGACAGCAUUGGUGUUCCUUACCACAUGUGUAACUUAAUGUGUGGAGCUGGACUAUGAGGCUUUUGCUGAAGACAAUCCACGGCCAAGCUGUUAGUUUAUAAAUGCUAGAGUUGUAUCCUCUAACGUGAGCUACUCAGCAUCAUUGAGCUCCUUCUCUGUACCUGCCUCCCAUAUCACUUGCUGCCCGUAUAUUCCUUGUAGAUAAAAUGAAGGCCUCUUCCUUACCCACCUUAAUGGGGCUGCUGUGUCCACAAAAAGGACAGUAUCACUUCUGCAACAGUGUUUGUAGGAUACCUGAGAAGAGAUUGCCAUUAUGUCUGGCUGAGGCUGGACAGGGCAGAGGAAGCUAUACACAGGAAUUAUUGUAGAGCAUUGUUUCUCUUAACAGCUGAGAAGUUUGUCACAGCUGAGAAGUCUCUGCUGUUCUCUCCUUUGUUCUUUGUCUUUUUGAUCAAAAAGCAAACAUACCUGAGUAUUUAGUAAACAUACAAACUAGAUUCCUCUAUAUUUUGUUAUUUUGGAAAUUUGGCACUUCAGGCUAUCUGAUCAAUGUAAAACGGGUGUGACUUCAUUUCAGUACUUGGUAAAAUAUACAAAGUAGUAAUCACUGGCUAUAUUUGUGUUUGAGAAGAUACCAGUGAGCACUAAGGGCCAAGGUUUCUUGAUUUUGCUUCUGAAAUAUGAGCAAUACUUGUUGGGACUGGAGGCACGUAUCUGUUCUGUAUUUCAGUAGGAAUGGGUUUAUUUACCAUGUUUGUCAUUACACUUCAGAAUGAAUGUUCAUGCUUAGUAGUGAAUGUUUGCAAAGGCCUUGACAAUCAAAGGCGUUUUUGAACGAUGAAUGUACUUAUUUUUGGACAAAAUGAGUGACUCCUUGCUACAGAAAAACUAGAGAUAAAAAGGGAUGGUAGCUAGCUAAUCCUAUGAACUUUCUGGGGAAAACGGAGACGUGGCACAAGCAUGGGGUACUGUACUGACUCUAGUGUUAUCUCACCUGCUCAUGUUCCUCUUGGUUUAAUGCCUGAGUCUUGCACAUGAGCACACAAGCAAAGCAAAAACCAAUGAAGUGGGAGUUUAGAACAAGGCCAAGAUUUUGUCCUGCCUGACCGGUGCCCUGGAGAAAGCAGGUAUUCACCAGCUAGCCAGGCAAGCACCACGGUACAAAUGUUUACAGCGAGGAACAAGCGUCUGUCUAUUCAGAAAGGGCAAAAGCGACCAACACCCGCAGGUCUCAGCUGUCACUAUAAAGCCGAAUACCUAUGUGGGGGAGUCUGGUGGAGGCUGCGCGCAAGAAAACAAGGAGUUGCUGAGAAGUCAAGCAGCUUGUCAAGGCAUCCUCGUAGUUUUCUGACCUGCUCAACCCUACACAGAGAGGCCAAAUUCAGCUUUGGCUCA